UUUCGCAAUGCCCGAAAGGGUGACGAAGCGACGCCGCGUGUGGGAAGAAGGCCUUCGGGUUGUAAACCACUGUCGGGAGUUAGGAAAUGCAGGUGCGUUAAUAGCGCACUUGCUUGACUAAGGCUCCAGAGGAAGCCACGGCUAACUCUGUGCCAGCAGCCGCGGUAAUACAGAGGCGGCAAGCGUUGUUCGGAAUUAUUGGGCGUAAAGAGCACGUAGGCGGCCUUGCAAGUCAGUUGUGAGAGCCUUCCGCUUGACGGAAGAACGGCAUCUGAUACUACAGGGCUUGAGUACGGGAGGGGAGAGUGGAACUUCUGGUGGAGCGGUGAAAUGCGUAGAUAUCAGAAGGAACGCCGGCGGCGAAAGCGACUCUCUGGUCCGAAACUGACGCUGAGUGUGCGAAAGCUAGGGGAGCAAACGGGAUUAGAUACCCCGGUAGUCCUAGCCGUAAACGAUGGGCACUAAGUAGAGGGGUUUU
rnacentral:rRNA from 1 species